rnacentral:tmRNA from 1 species
GGGGGCGACAGGCUUCGACAGGGGCCAUGAUCGUUGACAGGAUGCAUGUCGGGCUUACUCAUUUGCAGCUCGUUAAAAAGCAUUUGGGAAAAACAAUUGCCAAUAAAACAGAAUUGGCUCUCGCUGCCUAAUUAAGCACCGAGCGUCUCGCAAGCAAGUUGUUCAUGCGCGCUUGAGGAGAUGUCACCUUAGAUGAACUGGCUCGCCUUUUCGGUCCGUGAAGGCGAGCGAGAUUAAAGUCGGACUAGCACACGGCAGAGGUCUUCGUCGCUUCACUUACUCUGCCGCGAGCGAAAUCUGAAAAGAGAAGCGGCUAAGCAUGUAGAUUCCUUCGGCGUCGGCGCUUGGAUCAGGGUUCAAUUCCCUGCGCCUCCACCA